rnacentral:tRNA from 1 species
ACUUUUAUUGGACAGCAGCCGUCCGAUGGUCUUAGGAGCCACACCUCU